GGUGUGUGCACGGUUGGCCAGGGCAGGACUGUGGACCACGGCUGGACUGUGGAAACCUUUCAUCUGACACUUGGGACCGUUCUGGAGAGAGAAAAAGACUGAACGCAAGUGUCUCGUGGUUGAGGAACAACAAACGCGCUCCUUGAUUGGCGGGGGCAGGUCUAAGACUACGUGGAAAGUGGCACGAGAGAGUGAGCGGUUGUCAUGUUAUAUCAUAUGCUGAUUUUGGGGCUACAGUUGUAAAAGGUAGGCCUUAACCUAAACAAGACGGAGCUGCUCUUCCUCCCGGGGAAGGCCUACCGGCUCAGACUCCAUUAUCACCCUCCCAGAGUGCAAAUAACCUUGGCGUUACCCUGGACAACACCCUAUACUUCUCUGCAAAAAUCAAAGCAGUGACUCGCUUCUGCAGGUUCAUGCUCUACAACAUCACACAAGAAGUGGUGCAGGUCCUAAUCGAGGUCCACUCCUGUCUGGACUACUGCAACUCAAUGUUGCCUGGGCUCCCCGCUUCAGCCAUCAAACCCCUGCAACUUAUCCAGAACGCAGCAGCCUGCCUGAUUUUCAACCUGCCUAAAUUCUCUCAUGUCAUCCUGCUCUUUUAUCAGUUAUUAAACUAGUUUAACCUGAAGGGAGUUGUAGUUUUCAUUAAGCAAAUAGUUAUCAAGUUUCUGUGCUGAAUAACUACAAUGACCAUAUCAUCACAGCCCCACUGUGCAGGUGCACAUUCUGUACUUGCCUGAUAUGAAACAUCUCAACUCCAAAAUGCUGGAGUAUAGAGCAACAUUUUAAAUAAAUAUGUUGUGGACUAUAGUUGUGAAGUGGUUAAGUAGUGCUUCUGUUGCUAGUGAUAGAAAAUGCAUUUCACAGGGACAGUAUUUCAGUAAGUAUUUAUUAGCCUCAAAUUUAACUGAAACAAUUACAAUAUGGGAGCGUCAGUGGUCAGGAAGUCCAUUUCUAUUCCUUUCAUAGGCCACUGCAACUGGGAACACGUUUUAAAUUGUUGCUCUGAUCAU